rnacentral:tRNA from 1 species
UGCCUCUUGGUGUAGUGGUUAGCACCCAGGACUUUGAUCCCUGUAGCGGGAGUUCGAAUCUCUCAGGGGCAA